rnacentral:rRNA from 1 species
GGGCCCGCACAAGCGGCGGAGCAUGCGGAUUAAUUCGAUGCAACGCGAAGAACCUUACCAAGGCUUGACAUACACCGGAAACUUCCAGAGAUGGUUGCCCCGCAAGGUCGGUGUACAGGUGGUGCAUGGUUGUCGUCAGCUCGUGUCGUGAGAUGUUGGGUUAAGUCCCGCAACGAGCGCAACCCUCGUCGCAUGUUGCCAGCACGUAAUGGUGGGGACUCAUGUGAGACUGCCGGGGUCAACUCGGAGGAAGGUGGGGAUGACGUCAAAUCAUCAUGCCCCUUAUGUCUUGGGCUUCACGCAUGCUACAAUGGCCGGUACAAAGGGCUGCGAUGUCGUAAGGCGGAGCGAAUCCCAAAAAGCCGGUCUCAGUUCGGAUUGAGGUCUGCAACUCGACCUCAUGAAGUCGGAGUCGCUAGUAAUCGCAGA